GCCUGGGUGGCUCAGUCGGUUAAGUGUCCGACUUUGGCUCAGGUCAGGAUAUCACGGUUCGUGGGUUCGAGCCCCACGUCGGGCU
rnacentral:tRNA from 1 species